AUGGAGGUGAACCACCCAGCACCCCUCAGCCUCUUGGAACUUGCAGCCCACAGCCUGCUGAGCAAUGAGGCUUCAGUUCCACUGGUGUUGGAACAGCUCACAGUGAACCUUUUCCCGCCACUACUCACUGCUGCAUUUGCCAAGGGGCACAGAAAGGCUCUGAAGGCCUUGGUGCAGGCCUGGCCCUUCCGGUUUCUCCAUCUGGGCUCUCUGAUAGUGCAGUGGCCCAACCAAGACAGCCUGCAAGCUGUGGUGGAUGGGCUGGAGGCCUUUUCUGCCCACAGGGCUUGUCCCAGGAAGUCAGAACUGAGGAUGCUGGAUUUCACCCUGGACUCUGAGCAAGUCUUUUACUGUGGUAAAGGGGCUUCUGAAGCCUUGGCCAAGUUCCCAUUUUGGUUACCAUCAGCAGUCAAGGCAGAGACGCCCCAGGCCACGGCCAGGCCCAAGCCAGCAAAGAACAUGAAAAAAGGAUGAAAGCAGCCAUGGGAAGCAGUGGAAAUACACAUUGAUCUUUUCCUAUGAGGCUUCUUCAAGUUAGAUAAGUUCCUCUCCGACCUCCUGACGAAAGUGGAACAGAGCCACGGGGCCCUGCAUCUCUGCUGUAGGAAGUUGCACAUUGAGAAGAUGGCCGUCGACAGUCUGCUGAGGAUCCUGAAGACACUCAGGCUGGAUUUCAUCCAGGAGCUGGAGGUGUUUUACUGGUGUAGAGACUUCUUGGUAUUGGCAGAGCCAAACCUAUCUGCCAUACAGCUGGGAAGGAUCUUCAACCUGCGCAGCCUCAAGCUCUUCUACUACAAGUGGGCCUUCUCCUCAUGGGUCAGGCGGCCCUCCAGCUACUUCUUCUCCCAGCUCACCAUGCUGGGCCACCUCCGGAAGCUGCACCUGUCUCACUCCUACCUCGUAGGCAAACUACAUUACAUACUCAGCUGUCUGUGGGUCCCACUACAUUCCCUGGAGAUCUGCAACUGCAAGCUUCUGGACACUGACAUCACCUACUUGUCCCGGAGCCAUCAUACCACCUGCCUGAAGAAGCUGGAUCUGAGCGUCAACGACUUGUCCUACAUGAUCCCUGGGCCCUUGGGUACCCUGCUGAGGGCAGUCUCAGGGACACUGCAGCACCUAGACCUGAAACACUGCUGGCUGAAGGAUGCCCACCUCAGUGCCCUCCUGCCCGCCCUGUGCCGCUGCUCCCACCUCAGUUCCCUGAGCCUCUCCGACAACCCCAUCUCCAGUGCCUGCCUCCUGAGCCUGCUGGAGCACACCAUGGGGCUGAUGGAGCUGAAGCAGGUACUCUAUCCCAUCCCAGUUGACUGCUGCAUCUACCUGCAUGGCGUCUGCCGGGGUCCUGUGAACGAGGACAAGCUGUGCCAGUUGCAGGCCGAGAUACAGAAGCAGCUGCAAGCCAUGCAGCAGGCUGACAUGCAGUGGAGCCCCUCCACUGUCUU
rnacentral:lncRNA from 1 species